UGUCGUCAGCUCGUGUCGUGAGAUGUUGGGUUAAGGUCCGUAACCGAGCGCAACCCUUCGUCCUUAGUUACCAGCACGUUAUGGUGGGCACUCUAAGGAGACUGCCGGUGACAAACCGGAGGAAGGUGGGGAUGUCGUCAAGUCAUCAUGGCCCUUACGGCCUGGGCUACACACGUGCUACAAUGGUCGGUACAAAGGGUUGCCAAGCCGCGAGGUGGAGCUAAUCCCAUAAAACCGAUCGUAGUCCGGAUCGCAGUCUGCAACUCGACUGCGUGAAGUCGGAAUCGCUAGUAAUCGUGAAUCAGAAUGUCACGGUGAAUACGUUCCCGGGCCUU
rnacentral:rRNA from 1 species